AGUUCAGGUCCUAAUAUCUUUGUGGUUUUUUUUUCCUCAGUAAUCCAUUUAUUAGUGUCUGUGGGGUGUUGUAGUUUCCUCCUAUUAUUGUGUCAGAGUCUGUCUUCAUAAGUCACUAAGAACUUGCUUUAUUUAUUUGCACCCAUAAAUUUAUAUAACACAUUUUUCUCUUCUGCUUUUUUCCCCAUAAACACAGUGUGCCCAAGGCUAUUCCACAGAUGUCUGAAUUCAUUGUCUACUGAAAUUCCGACGUCUUGACAGUUCAACAUGUUCCAGGACAUGGCUGUUGUAGGAAAAAAUAUGAAUUAGAAAUAAGAGGAUUUAUUCACAUACCUUAAAAUAAAGGAGAAUAUUUUGCUCUUCUCUCUUUUCUUAUAGCAUUUAUAUUAUAUGUAGACAAUUUUCUCUGUUUUUUUUGAAAUAUAUGGAAGUCAUAUUAACAGCUAAAUAAACCUUUUGGCAUUCUUUUUUA
ensembl:lncRNA novel transcript